UACGUAGGUGGCAAGCGUUGUCCGGAAUUACUGGGUGUAAAGCGCGUGUAGGCGGCAGACCAAGUCGGCGGUGGAAGCGCCCGGCUCAACUGGGCGAGGUCCGUGGAAACUGGUCAGCUGGAGGACGGUAGAGGCGAGUGGAAUUCCCGGUGUAGUGGUGAAAUGCGUAGAGAUCGGGAGGAACACCUGUGGCGAAGGCGGCUCGCUGGGCCGGUCCUGACGCUGAGACGCGAAGGCGUGGGGAGCGAACGGG
rnacentral:rRNA from 1 species